rnacentral:rRNA from 1 species
CGGUGCAUUAAUGCUGGUAUGAUCGCACUCGUCAGAAAGUGGAUUAGAAGAUUACUAGUGCAGCAGUGCGAAUGCGCAAAACGGUUUCAAUAACAUUUAAAAAUGCAAAUAAAAUUGUAAGAAACGGAUAAAUAAUUUCGAAAACAAAGGAACGAAAGAUGGUAACGUUGAGGAAUCGAAUCGAAUAUCGGACGGAAGGAAAAGAAAUUAAAAUUAAAAUUAAAAGAGGACAGAAACGAGAAGAAGCAAAAAGGAGUGAAACAUGAGGAUUUCCCAAGAGGUCACCCAUCCUAGUACUACUCUCGCCCAAGCUUAACUGCGGAGUUCUGAUGG